GUACCUGUUUCAGCAGUUCACAUGCUAAGCUUGGAACAAUAUAAAGAAAGAGUCUCAUGGUUCCUUCCCAAGGAUGACACACAACUUCACGAAGCGCUCUGUAUUCUU
ensembl:snRNA U6 U6 spliceosomal RNA